rnacentral:rRNA from 1 species
UACGAAGGGGCUAGCGUUGCUCGGAAUCACUGGGCGUAAAGGGUGCGUAGGCGGGUCUUUUAAGUCAGGGGUGAAAUCCUGGAGCUCAACUCCAGAACUGCCUUUGAUACUGAAGAUCUUGAGUUCGGGAGAGGUGAGUGGAACUGCGAGUGUAGAGGUGAAAUUGUAGAUAUUCGCAAGAACACCAGUGGCGAAGGCGGCUCACUGGCCCGAUACUGACGCUGAG